rnacentral:lncRNA from 1 species
CUAUAGACACACUCUAUAAGAUCCCAAACCAUUCUAGGAGAUGUCCUGAGGAGCUCCAAAGGUUCUGUCGGUUGGUGCCAAUAGCUCAUCUCCCAAAAAAGUCAACGCCAAAGAGCUGGAAAUGAUGUUGGCACCAACAGUGGGGUUAUCAAGAGCAUCUACCUCCGUCUCGCGGAUGAUGCAUUGAACGGUUAAAGAAGGGGAUCUGAUCCAGAGAAC